UGGGGAAUAUUGCACAAUGGAGGGAACUCUGAUGCAGCGACGCCGCGUGAGUGAUGAAGGAAUUCGUUUCGUAAAACUCUGUUCUAUGGGAAGAAAAGGACUGUACCAUAGGAGAAAGCUCCGGCUAAAUACGUGCCAGCAGCCGCGGUAAUACGUAUGGACCGAGCGUUGUCCGGAAUUAUUGGGCGUAAAGGGUGCGCAGGCGGCUUUACAAGUUGGAUGUGAAAUAUUGUGGCUCAACCACAAACGUGCAUCCAAAACUGCAAAGCUUGAGUUAAGGAGAGGUAAGUGGAAUUCCUGGUGUAGCGGUGGAAUGCGUAGAUAUCAGGAGGAAUACCGGUGGCGAAGGCGACUUACUGGACUUAAACUGACGCUCAGGCACGAAAGCGUGGGGAGCAAACAGG
rnacentral:rRNA from 1 species